CCGAGUAUUGAGAAGAAUAUAGCACCGACAAGAUUAAUGAAAAUUUCCAGACUUGGUAGUGCAAGACAAAAGCCACCACUAAUCAGUAUUAUAACAGAUGUCAUUGGGCACGUAGAACUGUAAGCCAUAAGUAAACUGUAUCGCCACAGCCAUCAGUAAUUUUGCAGUGUCAGCCAAACUAUAAUAUAUUUCACUAUAUCGACAAGUGCAUUACCAAUUUACCAAUAAUUGCUGCAAAUUUUUUUUCAGGUGCCACUUUAAAACCAAUCACUAGAGGCAAAUAAACUUAUCAUAUGUA